AUACAGAGGGUGCAAGCGUUAAUCGGAUUUACUGGGCGUAAAGCGCGCGUAGGUGGCUAAUUAAGUCAAAUGUGAAAUCCCCGAGCUUAACUUGGGAAUUGCAUUCGAUACUGGUUAGCUAGAGUAUGGGAGAGGAUGGUAGAAUUCCAGGUGGAGCGGUGAAAUGCGUAGAGAUCUGGAGGAAUACCGAUGGCGAAGGCAGCCAUCUGGCCUAAUACUGACACUGAGGUGCGAAAGCAUGGGGAGCAAACAGGAUUAGAUACCCUGGUAGUCCAUGCCGUAAACGAUGUCUACUAGCCGUUGGGGCCCUUGAGGCUUUAGUGGCGCAGCUAACGCGAUAAGUAGACCGCCUGGGGAGUACGGUCGCAAGACUAAAACUCAAAUGAAUUGACGGGG
rnacentral:rRNA from 1 species